UCUCCUGUUAAUAAAACACUGGAAAACUAAUUGUCAAUAUGUGCCGUUUGAUGCAUAAUCCUUCAAAAUACCUGAUCCAUUGAAAAUGAGUUAAGAAGGACACUAGGAGGUGAACACACUGUUUAUCACUGGCUCCUAUCAGGACUAUUGUGAUAUGUGGAAGGGUAAAACCAACCACAUCACCUUUUCUUUAAGACUGUCAAGAGGCAGUCACAAUCAGAAACAUUUUCUCUUGAUUUUUAACGUAGACAUCAAAGUAUGUAUAGAUCAGUAAUUUCUUUUUCUAUUUCUAUGUGUUUCUUAAAAAUGUAAUUGGAGAGAUGGCAUCCUCUAAGAUUGCAUACUAGUCUGGCAAUUAUUUGUCAUGAGAAAUGUAUUAAGAAUAAUGGAUAACUUUAAGGUCCAUAAAAAAUAUGAGACCUGUUGUAGUCCUAGAAUUCCAGAGCUAAAUUUUCUCAAGUCAAAUUAGUAUUUUGUGUCUGUUUCUUCUUUUGGUGCAGGUGAGGUAUUCUUAUAAAUAUUUGGCUUAGAGCAUUCCACUUAAAAUUUUUAAUCUUUGUAGAUUUAUAGUAUUGCGAUUCCACUGUCAAAAUGAUAGAUACUGAUACGUAUUUUAAGGUAAUCUUAUAUGAUUAUUUUUCAGUGCACUGUAUCAAUCAAUGCCCUGGCAGGUCAUAAAAUGUUACAGCUCAUAAAGAACCAGUAAAUACUCAAUUUUCAAGGUACAGCCGAAGAACUAUAAAUUAAAUUGAUUACAUAACUAUAAAAUAAUUAGUCCAGUAUUUCCAGACAACUUUUUAAAAGAACUUCCCUGCCACAGAUCACUGUUCGAAAAGGAACUGGUCCCUAUUAAGUCUGUCCAGUUUUGGACACUGUGCUUGAGUUUUUUCUUUUACCUUAUAUCCCCGUAGCUCCCCUCUACUUCCUUCCUCAAGGUGAGUUCGUUUCCUCCUUGGGCUUCAACUACCUCCUAUAUAUAGGAGUUUCUAAAUUUAUGUCUCCUCCCCAGACGUUUCUUCCAAUACAUAGAUUCAAUGCCUCCAUGCCUAUUAGGUAUGUCUUGGAUGGGACUUUCCCACAAGCAGACCUUGAAACAAAGGUUUGAGUGCAAGUAUUUAAUUUGGGAAGAUGUCCCAUAGGCCCUGGUAGGGAAGUGAAGAAGUGAUAUAGGAAUCAAGAGUUCAUCAUGAGGCAGAUUUCCACUGGGGGCCACUGAAGUUCACUCCUGAUGGGGAGCUCUGGGAGACAGGACACAAGACACCUUAGAAUUAACCUCCCCCAGAGGGAUCCUCCAGAGGGCUGGGGAGCGGGGUCAUUGAUCCUUCAGCUCCAUCUGUCAUUGCCUGAAGGCUCCUUUUGCAGAUGUUAAAUGGUCACUCUUUCCUUCGGAUGUCCCUCCCACAAGAAGGACCAAAGCCUUCAGGUAGAAAGUCACAGGUGUAUGUACUGACAAGGUGAGGCCAAAGGGAUAUAGGUGAGGACAGGGCACUGCAGUGUCUGAGAGUGACAUUUCCACCUGAGUGUACACAGAUUCAUCAAGUUCCGCAUAUCCAACCCUAGCUCCCCAAACGUGUUUUUCGUCUGUAUCCUGGGGAAUGUGCUACAGUGUACUCCUUGAUCCAGGCAGGAACCCCUCUCCAUCUCCCUACUUCCUCUCAUGGGUAAAAUUCUAUCAUUUCCAUCUAUUCAAAGAUCCUUACUCUGUCCACUUUUUUCUCUCACCACACUGGAAAUCCAUUAUUUUCCCCACAAUUUUCUAUAUUAGCCUCUUGACUGUCUCUCUGCCUUGAGUCACACCAACCUGUAGUAUUUCCUAUAGCCAGAGUGAGGGUUCCAAACUGAAAAUCUGACCAUGUUCAUUCUCUGCUUAAAGUCAUUGAUGAUAGUUCAGGGUACUGCAUGUGAGGCCCUUCAUGGUUUUAUAUCAUCCCAUGUCACUAUUCUCACCUCACCAUAUACUGUGUAUGCCGCCCUGGGUCUUUGCAUAGGCUCUACCUGGUCCUGGCUCAUCACCAUAGCUCACGUGUCACCUCCUGAGGGUGUCCUUUUCUGACUCCUCACCUUCCCCCUCCCAAGCUGUGCAGCUGCCCCAGAUGUGGCCUUGCUUGCUCACAUUUCUUAGCAUACCACAGUGUUAUUGCCUCCUUUGACUAUCUCUUGAACUCGGCUGUUUAAGUUCUCCAAAGGCAGUGACUCUAUAUUCAUCUCAAAUUUUUAGCACCUAGCACAAUACCUGUUCAUAAUAGGUGCUCAAUAAAUAGUUGCUGAAUUAAUUUGUCUAUAUGAGUCUCUUUAAUCUUUAAAACAGUCCUAUAAGAUAGGUAUUACUGGUUUUACAGGCAAAAAUAUUGAGGUCAGAUAGGCCAAACAUCUUGCUCAAGAUCACAAACCUAAUAAAUGAUCAAAUCAGGAUUUCAACUCAAAUCUGUCUCCCAAGUCCAUAUUCUUUCCAUUAAAUCAUGUUAAGUUUUACUUUGUAAUGCUCUAAACAUUUCUUCUAUUUCACUGUUUAUGAAAUUAAAUUGCCUUAAUCUUUUUAUUUUUCUAGAAAUAAAUGUCUUCACAGGUGGCAUCUAGAAAUGCAAUAAAUAUUUAGUCCCCAGGAAUAUGAGCCCUGCAAGGUUUGUGCUACAAACCUUGUAGAGCUUGCUGAGAAGAGCAUAUGAUUGUGUAGUGGAAUUUUUAUGCUUUGGGUUAGAUCAUAGGAAUGAAUAUCCAUGGUUAGUUUGUGAUGCGUCUAAGCUGUGGAAUCUCAAUAAGCAUCCAUCAGUUUGACAGUCAAAAGGAUAUAUAUGAGGGCCUUGGGGGUGGGCAGGGUGAAGCAAUUUGGAAAUAUAAGCAGUAAAUUUUCAUACAUCACUGAUUGUGACAGUGAAAUGAUUAUCCAUCAAUUACAAAGCAGUUAAGUAGAUAUGUUUCUUGGUUUUUACUGCACUAUUUAUGUAUCCGGGUCUCCUGGAAGAGCUGCUCCUGUACCACAGUCCAUGCUGGACAGCCUGCAUCACUUUCAGUGCCUGUUGGAGACACAGAGAGGCUAUUGGAUUUAGGAACAAAUAAAAGGCAAAAAGAAGAGGGACCACCAGUGGCAACUUUCCACCCAAAUUUUUCCAUCAAGAAAUCUUGGAACACGUUCUCCAAUUUAUACCAUUAGCCUUAUUUCAACCCAAAAUAGUGUGUGGUGGCAUGAGAUACUCCUGAAGACUAUCAAGCAUUGUAAAAUCAUUAUCUUCUUCAUCUGAAGACAUCCAGAACAAGCCCUGCUACUGGUAAAUGAGCUUUAAUUUUUGUUUACCAUGAGUCAGCCUGAAAAAUGUCAAAGAACACUCAAUAAAACUUUCCAUGUCCUUUAAUCUUAUCUUCAUUAUCACUUGUGAUGAAGCAAGAGCAUGGUUCCUUCUAGCAAUCUUGCAUUCAAUAAAUACUUACUGAGUUCCCUUUGUGCCAGGAACUUUUGUAGAUGCUGGGGAUACAGCAAUGAACAAAGCAGACAUAAAUGCUUGCCU